GAGGCCUUGUGUUUCACCAUUUCAUGUGUUGUUGUAAAAAGGACAUUGGCAUUCAUUUCAGUGACAUUGAUUUAAGUAACCAGGUCUCUGUAGGCUGACCUGGCACAUGUUUACAACUUUGAUCAGUGAGAGCUAGUGGGUUAUUUACAUUUUUCCCAUUUAGCAGACAGCCUUGUCUGAAAAAAAACUUCCAGUACACACGGUAUACAAUCAUUUGUUUUCCUCUCAUGGGGGAAGGCAGCUCAUUGACCUUGGAGAUAAUGGCCCCCGUGUUCGAUGGGGUUGGUUAUCAGAGCGCAUUCACUUAUUCUUUUUUCUCUCUCUUUCUUUCUCUCUCUCUCUCUCUCUCUCUCUCUCUCGCCCUCACAGGGUCCACAGGGGAAGUCUGGCAUGCAGGGCCUUCCCGGGAUUGAUGGGCCACUGGGUCAUCCAGGAAGAGAGGGACCUCCUGGAGAGAAAGGACUGUCGGUGGGUCAGACUGAACGUGUGUGUGUGUGUGUGUGUGUGGUGUGUGUGUGUGUGUGUGCGUGCGUGCGCACGUGCGUGCGUGCGUGCGUGCGUGUAUGUGUGCGUGUGUGUUUGUGCCUCUUUCUGAGCCCUGGGGAGAGA
rnacentral:lncRNA from 1 species